GGCCCUCCGGCAGCACGGACGCCUCGCACUGACGAGGAGCGUCGCUGGAAUUCCCGGAUUUUUCCUUACAGAAAGGCUCCACUCUGGGCAAGGAAACGGCAGAGCCCUUCCCCAGGUUUACUGCAGAGGUUGGAUCUUGCUACCACUGCUGCUGAGAUGAAUGGGCAGUGCAAGGAAUUGACGUUUCCAAAAUGAAAAAGGGUUUUGUAAAGCAGAGCAGGUCAGGUAGCUUGGAGUUAGAUCUUAUCACCCGAGAGCUGAAUUAAUCAUGGGCUGAGCCUUAUAACUGAAAGGAAAAGAUCCAGUUGUGAGGGCGUGCUGCUACUCAGCUCGAUGGAAACUAAAGAAAGAGGAGGAAUGAAAGGUGAUGUCUGAUUUAAUACAGCCUACAAUAAGGCUAUAUUAAAAAUAUCGUCUAUGGCUCAGGGAACGGUGCUGUUCUCAGACGGAUUCAAAAGUACAGAGGUUUGGUUUCUCAACAAGGAGUCAGUGCUGUUCUUCCUGCUGCCAAGAGCUCAAUUGUCACAUAGAUACUGGAGAUCUAUUGCCUAUUCAGAAAGCAAGGCAAGUUAGUCUUUGGUAUUUGCAGAACUAUAGCAACAGCCAAAAAUGUAAGAGGUGUAUUUGGGAUGAGAAGACCAAGAGAGUGAACAAAGCAAACAAGCUGUUACAAGUAAUCUCUGAAACUGCGUGGGACAUAGCAACGUCUGGGAUGUCUGCUGGCACUGAAGAAAAGGACUGGAUUGUGAUGGGAGGCUGUGGUGAGCAGCACCAGAGCUUCCCAGUACAGAGAGCUGAGCUGCUUUGUGCUGUGUCUGGUCCUGCCUUGCCAAGCUGGACCCAGAUGAAAGCUGCUUCCAUCACAGGGGAGAUGAAUACCAUCUUGCAGACAUAGCGAGGAUGCACAGGGUGUAAUUUUGUCAUUGGGAAUUUUUUUCAUGUCCUGGCCAUCACCAGGACAAAGCACGAAGCUCCUGGGCAGCAUCCCAGUUCUGAGCUGUGUGCAGCAGGCAGGUGGCUGCUGAGAAGUGGGAUUCCUUAGGUGUGGUGCAGUGGCAUUCCGUGUGCUGAUACUGCCCAUCCUGCUUGUUGACACUGUGUGCACAAAUCACAGGUGUGACAUCUGUUUGUUUCCUAAACAAUAUGUUGAAAUUAUGAUGUCUUGGGAUGGAUUUGUAUAGCAAA